AUCGCUUCUCGGCCUUUUGGCUAAGAUCAAGUGUAGUAUCUAAACACCUUCGGGGGUUAGCUUAAGGAAAGAGACAGCUUUU
rnacentral:snRNA from 1 species